UCUUCCUUCCACACCUCCUUGGCCCCACAAUGCAUCUUCUACACAGCAGGACAGGGUAAUUCCCUGCAUGCGAAGCAGUAACUCUAGUAAUAACAAUAACUCUUAGUACUUAGAGCUUCUCAUCCGAGGAUGUCACCCAAGCUCAAAAGAAACGGAAACAGACCGGUACACUGCAGUUUGGCAGCCAGGGUUCUAGGCUUGAUUUCUUGAUUGAGAUCAAGAAGUGCCUAUUUCUAGGUCACAACAAAGAUGGCCAAAGCUUCCUAGGAAGAAGGAAUGCUUUACCCAGGACACAGAAAGAGACCAGAUGUGUUCAUUGUACAGAAGUUCAGGAGCUUUAAGAGCAUGGCAAGAGGACUUCUGGCUUGGAAUAUCAGGAACUGGCCGCCUGAUUCCAGUCAUUCACCAAAGCUGGACACAGGCAGAUGAGGUUUCCUUGUCAGUCACAACUAGGAAAUAAAAACACCUAUUGCACAAACCAGGAUUUCCCGGAAAGAGUUGCUCAUCCAAACAUGAGAAAGGGGGAAAAGGCAUCUCAUAUGCUGCUAAGCAAAGGACUCUGAAGGAGGAGCUAUGGAGGCAAGGUAAGGCUCCAGCAAUAAAUACAUUUAUUGGUUGGACAGUAAAAAGUACUGAAGAGUUUAAAAUAAAUUCAGAGUUAUUUAAACUUAAUUUAUGGCCAGGAAAAUAAACCCUCUCUUCCCCCAUUAAUGUUUUUUAUCUGGGCCAUCAAAUGUCACACCCUACUAGUUUUGGAUGUAAGGUCACUAGAAACAACAUAUCAGAGGUGUCAGCAACACAAAUCAAGUGAAAUUCCCCUAAAAAUAAAAACGUCAGGAGUAAAAUAAUAGGCAAUAGUUAUUUCAUGCUAUGAAAGACUCAUCAUAUAUCAAAGGGUUCACCUUUCCCUACCUUUAUGAUAUAUCUAUUCGAACACUAAAUAGACUUCUGCUUAACAGACAAAGUAAAGAUAGCAGGCCAUGGAACAAUAACGAUAAUAAGAAUGAUGCCGCCUACAUAAUGUGGCCAUUUGGAGGCACAUAAACAUUAGAAAAUACAUGGUUCGAUAUAUCACUCGGAGAAACAAUGACCCUGCAUACAUAGCAUCCCCACCGCGCAGCAUGUCAUCAGUUAGCGGAAGGGGUCAUCCUCAGAGGUCGCUCCUGGCUCUAUCUUCGGAAUAUGAAUACAGAUGGUGCGUGGGUUCAGACAUGGCAAGAAUGGAUGUCUUGUGGCUCCUGUAGGAAUGGCGGAACCGAGGAGAGUGGCUCCGAGCUGGGAGAUUGCCCUGCCUGAGAACCUUGGACAGAGAUGUUGAAUAAAAUAGUAGCAAGUACUACUCUGAGGAUAGGAGAUGAUGGAAGGAAACUUAGAGCAGAUGGGUUCUUUAUGAUCCCCACGCUGAAUGAUGGAAGGGGAGCAGUACUUGCCACAAGGUUUGUUAUUGCUGAACAUACAAACCAGGGGCAGCACAAAUACCCUCUGGACCGUGUUACCUUUGAAUAUAUCCAAGUCUCCAGGAUAAUGAUUACAGGUAUGUCCUUUCAACACUUCCUACAACUGUUCUCUUAAGAAGAUAAAGGGGGAGGAAAUCUCACUUUCUGAAUCAAGGACUCGUAAGCCAGAGGACAAAACAGCACAAGGGAUGGAUAAAGGCACACGGAGUCAUUCACAUACAAGGAUGAAUUUGGCCCAGGACAGUAGUGAAUGGUUACUGAGUGCCAUAAGACUUUAGCUUCAUCUUUCCCAAAUCCAUAUUUUGAUGGAAGAGGAAAGAAAGUUAUAUUUAUCAUCCAAGAAAUAACAUAGUGACAUGACUGGACCAAGCCCAUCCAUCAUCCCUCUUAUCCCCAAUGUUAUCAUAUGGUAGCCCUUCAUUACCAAACAGGUGAACCACCUGCCUUCAUGAAUUCAGUGUCUUCCUUCAGGGAAUUUCCUUUCCCUCCUUCAGAAUGGCAGGUGGACCUCCAUGCUCAGUUACAUGGCUGUCUGGCCUGGUUGUCAUUAGGGAGUUUGGGCCCCAGAGUUUAGGAAAGACAUUCUAGAGAGCAUUCUGGGAGGAUAGAUCAAUUGAAAAACCUGGAAAGGAAGACUCAAGGGGGAGUUGAGAGCUGUCAUCAAGAAUCUAAAAGUUUGUCAAGCCAGGUCUAGGGAUGGGAGGUCCUGGGUUCAAAUCCAAUCCCAGACACUUCCUAUCUGCAUCUCCCUGGGCAAGUCACUUAAUUCCAAUUGCCUAGUCCUUACUGCUAUUCUGCCUUGGAACUGAUCCUUAGUAUAGAUUCUAAGACAGAAGGUAAGGAUUUAAUAUAUAUUAUACAUAACACACACACAUAUAUAUAAAUAUAUAUGAAUGACUCUUUGUUCUAUUUGUCUGAAGAGGGAAGAACAGAGAAUAAGGUGGGGAGGGAGGAGUCAGCAAGAGGCAAUUUUAGGUUGGCAUCAGAGAGAAAAAACCUUCCUAACAAUUAGUGAUAUUCUAAGAUAGAAAGAUAUCUUCUGCAUGCUGUCUGCUUCACUAAACUGAGAGCUGGAGAACAAGGACUUUUUGGUCUGUCUUUGUAUCGCAUGAUUGCUGCCAUGCAGUUAAAAGCUCAUUGACUAGAUUCUGGAGGUGGUGGGGUUCUCCUCCCUGGAAAACUUUAAUCAGAGGCUGAAUGACUUCAAGAGGUCACAACGGGUUCUUUGUCAGAGUGGGUUGGCCUCUGAGGUCCUUUCCAAGCUGGGAAUUCUAUGAUUUGAGGACACAACUCACCCCCCAUUGUGGUGAAGCACCCACACUGUUGUUCUCAGAGAAGUCUCUGGAAACUAUUUCCUUUCUUUGCCAUUCCCAUCCUGCCCUAGCCCUCCCACCCAUUUCUACCACUUGCCUCUUCAUUGCAUGUCUCCUCCUCCAUUAAAGCAUAGUGCUUUCCCCAAUUGGAUACUUGGGCAUUUUGGGAUAUCUUCAAGAAAGACACCAUUUGGGGGCUGUUUUCUUACUGACCUACCAGCAGCAAAGCUUUUCUUCUUUUCUUUUUAACAAGGAGUUUUAAGUGUAUUUGUCUGAAGCAAACACUAGUGACUAGAGUCCCUCUGUUGGACAGCUCCUAUUUAAUUGCAGUUUGGGGUUAUUGAGGACAAAUGAUUUGGAGAGUUUCUUAUAGGAGGCAAAUCAAUGAAUGUAUGUAUUUGAUAAAAGUAUCCUAAUGAAGGCAUGGGCUUAACUCUUGAGAUGUCUGCCUGGGAUAUGGAGAUUCUACUAUAUGGCAUCCAUAUCUAGCAUUUCAUCUUUCAGAAGCACCUUGGGGGCAGCUGGAUGACUCAGUGCAUUGAGCGUUAGGCCCAAAAAUGGAGGUCCUGGGUUCUAAUCUGGCCUCAGACACUUCCUAGGUGUAUACCCUGGGUAAGUCACUUUACCUCCAUUAUCUAGUUCUUACCCCUCCUCUGCCUUGGAACCAAUUGGUUCCAAGACAGAAGGUAAGGGUUUUAAGAAAAGGAAAGGAAUGAAAGAAACACCUUUAAAAUGUCUGGGCAGCCACCAUUAGGGCAUUUCAGUGCAGGAGCAUGUACUGGAAUGAUUCAGAUACAUACUUAAGUUGCUAGUAGUAGUACUAGUGAUAGUCUCUCGGUGAUCGAGAAUGACGAUUGUCUUUGUGCAUUAUCAUCUACAGUGUACCCUCCUGUGGCUUUGGAGUCCAGAGGCUGAGGCGCACAGUUUGUGGCACACGGGGCCUGGGAUGCCAGUUGUUACGGGAGGUGCGGGUGUGGCCUGGUGUCGGCGUU